rnacentral:rRNA from 1 species
UACGUAGGGGGCAAGCGUUAUCCGGAUUUACUGGGUGUAAAGGGAGCGUAGACGGCGGUGCAAGCCAGAUGUGAAAGCCCGGGGCUCAACCCCGGGACUGCAUUUGGAACUGUGCUGCUAGAGUGUCGGAGAGGCAGGCGGAAUUCCUAGUGUAGCGGUGAAAUGCGUAGAUAUAUGGAGGAACACCGGUGGCGAAAGCGGCUCUCUGGCCUGUAACUGACACUGAGGCUCGAAAGCGUGGGGAGCAAACAGG